rnacentral:rRNA from 1 species
GGCCGCGGGAAUUCGAUUUCUGGUUGAUCCUGCCGGACCCGACUGCUAUCAGAGUGGGACUAAGCCAUGCGAGUCAACGUAGUAAUACGUGGCAUACGGCUCAGUAACACGUAGUCAACAUGCCCAGGGGACGUGGAUAACCUCGGGAAACUGAGGAUAAACCGCGAUAGGCCAUAAUUCCUGGAAUGGUUUAUGACUGAAACCUACAUGGCCCCUGGAUUGGACUGCGGCCGAUCAGGCUGUUGGUGAGGUAAUGGCCCACCAAACCUGUAACCGGUACGGGCUCUGAGAGGAGAAGCCCGGAGAUGGGCACUGAGACAAGGGCCCAGGCCCUAUGGGGCGCAGCAGGCGCGAAACCUCUGCAAUAGGCGAAAGCCUGACAGGGUUACUCUGAGUGGUUCCCGCUAAGGGGAUCUUUUGGCACCUCUAAAAAUGGUGCAGAAUAAGGGGUGGGCAAGCCUGGUGUCAGCCGCCGCGGUAAUACCAGCACCCCGAGUGGUCGGGACGAUUAUUGGGCCUAAAGCAUCCGUAGCCGGUCAUGCAAGUCUUCCGUUAAAUCCACCCGCUCAACGGUUGGGCUGCGGAGGAUACUACGUGGCUAGGAGGCGGGAGAGGCAAGCGGUACUCAGUGGGUAGGGGUAAAAUCCUUUGAUCCAUUGAAGACCACCAGUGGCGAAGGCGGCUUGCCAGAACGCGCUCGACAGUGAGGGAUGAAAGCUGGGGGAGCAAACCGGAUUAGAUACCCGGGUAGUCCCAGCUGUAAACGAUGCAGAUUUGGUGAUGGGAUGGCCUCGAGCUAUCCCAGUGCCGAAGGGAAGCCGUUAAGUCUGCCGCCUGGGGAGUACGGUCGCAAGACUGAAACUUAAAGGAAUUGGCGGGGGAGCACCACAAGGGGUGAAGCCUGCGGUUCAAUUGGAUUCAACGCCGGAAAUCACUAGUGAAUUC